GCUCAGCUGAAACGAUGGUCACGGCGGA
rnacentral:piRNA from 1 species